rnacentral:rRNA from 1 species
UACGGAGGGUGCAAGCGUUAUCCGGAUUCACUGGGUUUAAAGGGUGCGUAGGCGGUCAGGUAAGUCAGUGGUGAAAUCCCCGAGCUUAACUUGGGAACUGCCGUUGAUACUAUCUGUCUUGAAUACCGUGGAGGUGAGCGGAAUAUGUCAUGUAGCGGUGAAAUGCUUAGAUAUGACAUAGAACACCAAUUGCGAAGGCAGCUCGCUACACGAAUAUUGACUCUGAGGCACGAAAGCGUGGGGAUCAAACAGG